rnacentral:rRNA from 1 species
CAGUGAGGAUGUUGGCUUAGAGGCAGCCAUCAUUUAAACAGUGCGUAAUAGCUGACUCAUCGAGCGAUGUCGCGCCGAAAAUGAUUGGCGAUCAAAUCACAUACCGAAGCUAUGGAUUCAUGACCGGUUCGCCGGACAUGAGUGGUAGAAGAGCGUAAUCAGUGCUGCGAAGCUGGACGGAAACGGAAAGUGGAGCGCUGAUUAGUGAGAAUGCAGACACGAGUAGCGAUAAAACAGGUGAGAAUCCUGUUCGCCGUAAACCCAAGGUUUCCUGGGCCAGGUUCGUCCUCCCAGGGUUAGCCGGGAGCUAAGAUGAGGCCGUAAGGCGUAAUCGAUGCACAGCAGGUUAAAUAUUCCUGCGCUUGCCCGGGUUAAGGCUGUGAAUAACACAUGGGAUCACAUCAACUAGGGUAUUGAAUCCUGAGCUUAGGCUUCGGCCGAAGCGUAUUGGUGGGGUCCUGUGUCGAGAAAAGUUUGCAGUUGUUCCCCGGACAACCCGUACCGUAAACCGACACAGGUGGGUGAGUGUAAGCGCACUCAGGCGCGCGAGAGAAACCUCUCUAAGGAACUCGGCACAUUAGCCUCGUAACUUCGGGAGAAGAGGUGCUCACUUCGGUGAGCCUCAGUAAAUUGCGUUUAGCGACUGUUUAACAAAAACACAGCACUCUGCCAAGUCGUGAAGACGACGUAUAGGGUGUGACAAGUGACCAAUGCGGAAAGAUUAAACUAUUGGGUCAGGCGCAAGCCAAAGCUCGGUAGCCAAGUCCCCGUGAAUGUCGGCCGUAACUAUAACGGUCCUAAGGUAGCGAAAUUCCUUGUCGGGUAAGUUCCGACCUGCACGAAUCGUGUAACGACUGAACGACUGUCUCGGAGAGGAUCUCGGCGAAACUGUAACGGCGGUGAAGAUGCCGCCUGCCCGCAGUAGGACGGAAAGACCCUAUGCACCUUUACUGUAAGCUCGUAUUGGGUUCUGAUUAACGAUGCGUAGCGUAGGUGGGAGACUUUGAAGCGAGUCCUUCGGGGCUCGUGGAGUCACAAUGUGAAACACCACUCUUUGCUAAUUAGGAUUCUAACCCUGUGCUGUGAAGCCAGCCGGGGGACAGUGCGUGCGGGUCAGUUUGACUGGGGCGGUUUCCUCCCAAAGAGUAACGGAGGAGCGCGAUGCUUGGUUCAGCAUGGUUGGCAACUAUGCGUUGAGGGUAUGGCUAGAAACCAGGUUAACUGUGAGACGUACAUGUCGAGCAGAUGCGAAAGCAGGCCCAAAUGAUCCGACGGUUUAAAAUGGAAUUGCCGUCGCUCAUCGGACAAAAGGUACGCUAGGGAUAACAGGCUGAUCGGAUCCAAGAGUUCAUAUCGACGAUCCGGUUUGGCACCUCGAUGUCGGCUCAUCGCAUCCUGGGGCUGGAGAAGGUCCCAAGGGUCCGGCUGUUCGCCGGUUAAAGCGGUACGCGAGCUGGGUUCAGAACGUCGUGAGACAGUUCGGUCCUUAUCCACUGUGGGCGCAGGAAACUUGAGGGGUUCUAACCUUAGUACGAGAGGACCGGGUUAGACGCACUUCUGGUGUGGCAGUUGUUCCGUCAGGGGCAUCGCUGCGUAGCCAUGUGCGGAAGAGAUAAGCGCUGAAAGCAUCUAAGUGCCAAGCUCCUCCCAAGAUAUUGUUUCCCGGACGCAAGUCCCUAAAGACCACGGGCAGACCACCCGUUUGAUAGGCUAGGAAUGUAAGUACCGUGAGGUGCUCAGUUGACUAGUACUAAUCGGUCGUGAGGCUUGAUC